AGGGGGUUAGCAUAACUGGCGAAUGCGCUAGGCUUUGACCCUGGAAUAUGUAGGUUCGACCCCUACACCCUCUGCCA
rnacentral:tRNA from 1 species